GAGAGAUCGGAUUCGGAAUCGGGAUGAGGGAAAUUAUCAGCCUUCACAUUGGUCAAGCUGGAAUUCAGGUCGGCAAUUCUUGCUGGGAGCUUUAUUGCCUCGAACAUGGCAUUCAGCCGGAUGGUUUGAUGCCCAGUGACUCGUCGGUUGGUGUUGCACAUGAUGCUUUCAACACGUUUUUCAGCGAAACUGGUUCAGGCAAGCAUGUUCCUAGAGCAAUAUUUGUGGAUCUGGAACCAACUGUUAUCGAUGAAGUAAGGACUGGGACAUACCGACAGCUUUUCCAUCCGGAACAGCUCAUAUCUGGUAAAGAAGAUGCUGCAAAUAAUUUUGCU
rnacentral:misc_RNA from 1 species